ensembl:lncRNA
GCUCAGAUACUGACAGACGAGUGGACAUUGAAUUCCCUUAAAUUGGCAUGCAGAACUCAAGUUCCUGAGAAAGGAAAUCAAAGCUGGAGCACAUCACAUUGUGUACAGUGUCCUGUCUCCACCCACUCCAACCUCAUACCCCCACAUCCACUUUUCUUUCAACCUCCUGGGCCUCAGGAGCUUUUUCAACCCUUAACCGAGGCAGCAUCUUACUCCCCACAGGGAGCUGCAAUCCCAGAGACGCCCUGGGUUUUCACAGCCAAACCGCACAUGCCAGAAAGAGUUGCUUCAAAUUAUAGAGGUCACCUCUUUUAAUGCUUCUUCCUUUGGCUUUUUCCAACAUUCUUCUGUGAUUAUCACACUGGUGGGGGACAAAGGGCUAUGGCACCUGAGCAGGCCAUGCAUACAGCUCCCCUUCCCCCACAGAAUGAGCUGGUAUUUUUAGACAAAGUCGUUGAUCCCUUUAUGUAAAUGCCAUCCUAACUGGAAACCUGGAUUUCUCAGCCUUUCAAACAUCCAGUGGACUCCCACCUCUGUUGAGGCCUGGGCCUCUCCUCUCUGCCUCCUUUCAAACAACAUAGGUCUAUUUCCCCAGCAGCUUUGUUGAAAGUCCUCUUUGUGUCCUUUUGGUUAGUACGGUCAUUUAUCUUGAAGCAGGUUCAGAGGAGUACACGCUGUUUCGGAAAAGAUUUUUGUUUCAGGCACACUGAAAUCCCAGCAAAGAAGCCAUUUCCUGUGAGCUGAUUGCUGGAUUUCCUCAAUCCUUGGCAGCCACGCAGACCUCUUGUUCCAGCUCGUCCCAUAACCUUGGAUCUGUAGCGUUUAUAUUAUCUGUAAACUACUUACUUCUAGAAAGGAUUGAGGCUGUGGGGCCAGAGAGAGGGACAGGGGGCAGUGUGUAGGUAGAUGGGAUCAGGGACCCGUGGUCCACUUCUUCACACCCGGGGCAAAGGUGCAUUAGUCAUGGUCACGCGAUGUCUCCCGCAGAGGGGCAGGUGACAGCGUCCACAAAGCCAGCAGCCCCACGGCAGGCACCUUUGGCCAGCGUCCCUGGUGGCUGCGGUGGCCUUGCUGCAGACGCAUCCGUGUCUCCUGCCUGUACCUUUGGGCCCCGGAAUCCUCAGGACCACGGACAGGGAAACUGAGGCGGUCGCCGUGCAGAGGGCAUGGCUGGCAGCCGACAGUGCAGCAAGUGUGCAGGCCGGCUGUGAGGCCUUGAACUAGUCACUUCUUUCCUUUUCAGGCCUUGGCUUCUGAACCUGGAAUAGUAAUGCUUCUGGCCCUGAGGUGGACUGGGUGUGUACGUGGAGCCGGUGCUGUGAAAGGUCAUAAAAUCACAACCGGGGAGACCCACACCGAAGUGCCUUGCCCCAAGGUCACGCGGAAAAAGCAGCUUCCAGACACCAAUUUCCUGCCUGCCCUUUCCCUGGCUUCUCAAGUCCUGGGCUUUCCGAUGAGUCCGAGGAAAGUUUCUCCCCCAAAGCCCACCCACC